UCUCUGUGAUCCAAUAGAUCCUGCUGACCCUCUGUUAUGUACUCAGGAGGGAAAUGAGGCUAAUCUUACACUGAGAGA